AGAGUCGAGUACUCGGUUUUCACCCAAGUCCAUAGUCGAGUUUGAUAGCAUUUGGAAAAACGAUAGUAGCAGCUAGUUCCGAGCUCUUUAGUGAAGAUGUUCAAUUCUCUCAUGUCUCAUUCGUAAACAACAGAGUACCCGGAGUCUUUGCUUUCUGUUUAUUUUUUAUCAAGUAUUGCUUUUUGGCCUUUAUAUUCGCUUCGUUGGGACGUUUUUCAUUUUUGUUUCCCACGCUCGCAACUAACAACCAAACCAAACGAAAUUAUCGAAAUUAUGCCGGAUUGUUCUGAACAUGUAAAUGAGCCUGGACGGGGUUCCGAAACAAGUGAAGAUGACCCUCCAAUGUCCAGACUAUUCAUAUUCUGCGACAAAAUACACACGGAAAAUGAUAUCCGCAAAAGCUUUUCGCCAUACGGACUUUUACAAGAUGUUAAAAUUAUAAAGGAGAAGGAAACAGGAGAGAACAAAGGAUUUGCCUACGUAAAGUAUGCAAAAACAUCAGAGGCUGCCAAGGCCCAAGAGGAAUUGCAUGGUAGUAUAAUAGGAAAAUCUGAUCGUCCCUUAAGGGUAUUUGUUGCAGCAAGUCGCAGUCAAGGUGCUAACAAAUCUCAAAAAAUUGAACAAGAACAAUGCGUACGGCUAUUCAUACAAUGCCCAAAAGAGACUGGCGAACAAGAACUACGCGAUGAGUUUAAACAGUGGGGUCCUGUAGAGAGUGUUACACUAAUACGCCAUAAGGACACUGGUAAUCCAAAAGGAUUCGGAUAUAUACGCUAUACAAAAUUUUAUCAUGCGGCUUUAGCAUUUGAAAAUUGCUCAGCUAAAUAUAAAGCAAAAUUUGCAGAUCCGAAAAACCCAAAACGCUCAACGGAAGAUCAUUUUUCAGAUAAAAGCGAGCCCGGAAAAAUGUUAAAUUUAAAUAUAAAGAAGACCGAACAAUCUCAACCAACAUCAUUAAAUGUCAUAGUAAGCAAGACAAUUAAGCAAGAUCAGCUUUGGCGCUUAUUUGAUAUCGUUCCCGGGCUGGAUUACUGUCAAAUUCUUAAAGAAGGCGACUACAACAAUGAAGCUAUAGUGGUAUAUCACAAUCCAGAAUCUGCAAUAUAUGCCAAAGAAAAAAUUCAUGGAUUCGAAUAUCCGGUUGGUGAACGUAUUAUAGUUAAAUUAUCGGAUAUGAGCUCAGCACACAUUGAUACAACGUUCAUAGAAAAGCAUACUAGGAAGGAGACUUUUUGCAGUGUUCCUUUGCCGCAAGCUAAUCCCAUGGCUCCUAGCGACUCCCAAGUAGCAAAGCGUUUAUUUAUGAUAAUGCCAACACCUGUCCCAGUAGCCAUUUUAAAAAACAUAUUUUCAUGUUGGCCAGGACUGAUCGAUUUAUACUUUCUGCCAAAUAAGUCGUGCGGUUAUGUAAAAUAUGCCGAUAAGGAGUCCGCCAUGAAAGCAAUGGAGACCUUAAGUGGUGCAGAAAUUUGCGGAACAAAGAUUAAGAUCGUUGAAGCUGAAGAACAAAUAAAACAUGAUGGCUCCAAGACCACAAACGAUGAUGGAAGUCGCAAGCGCAUGAGACGUAACUAACAAGUAAGUUUUUAUAAGGUACAUUUUCCUUGUGUACAAUAAAUAUUCAAGACAUACAAGUUACAACAAUGGACUUAAACGAUUACAAACACUUAAAACUGACAAUUCAAAUGUUACCACAAAAACUUCAAUACAAAUGGAAACUAACAAAAUAGAAAUAACGGAUUUACUUACAUGAAGGAAUUAAUACCUACCUACUCUACUGCACACACUUAAAUACAAACUAACAAAAAUAGUAAUACCUUACAACUUAUUACUGAAGCAUUCGUCUAUAGUAGUGGAAUCAUUUAACUCCAAAUUGAAAUCAUUAAAUAUUUAUAUUGGUCGUGAAAUCUAGUACUUGAUAUAAGUACGUCAUUCGCGUUUACCAAUUUACCAUUUAUGUGUUGAAUAAAAGGAAGAACGAUUUAAA